AUCUAACUGACGAGUCCCCAAUAGAACCAAAUGCGCGUCCUGGAC
rnacentral:hammerhead_ribozyme from 1 species